UACGAAGGGGGCGAGCGUUUGUUCGGAAUUACUGGGCGUAAAGCGUGCGCAGGCGGUUCGUUGUGUCCGUCGUGAAAGCCCCGGGCUUAACCUGGGAACUGCGAUGGAAACUAGCGAGCUGGAGUGUGGCAGAGGGGGGGUGGAAUUCCGCGUGUAGCAGUGAAAUGCGUAGAGAUGCGGAGGAACACCGAUGGCGAAGGCAGCCCCCUGGGCUAACACUGACGCUCAGGCACGAAAGCGUGGGGGAGCAAACAGG
rnacentral:rRNA from 1 species